AACAGCUUCAUUCUGCCCUCCAUUCCUGACAUGGCGUCCACAUUCUUGCGCCAGUCUGUCACUUCCUCUUUCUGUAAGUCUUGAGGUUGGCCUUGAAGUCCACAGACUCUUUGACUUUGGAGCCCAGCAGCGCUCCCAACAUAGCGUCUGCAGACACCCUCACCCUCUUCAGCGGCGUGUGGAACAUUCAGAACAGCACGUUGUUCGAGCGGAACAUGAUGGACAGGCAAGACACCGCACACGCGUAC